rnacentral:rRNA from 1 species
AAUGAACGCUGGCGGCGUGCCUAAUACAUGCAAGUCGAGCGAACAGACGAGGAGCUUGCUCCUCUGACGUUAGCGGCGGACGGGUGAGUAACACGUGGAUAACCUACCUAUAAGACUGGGAUAACUUCGGGAAACCGGAGCUAAUACCGGAUAAUAUAUUGUACCGCAUGGUUCAAUAGUGAAAGACGGUUUUGCUGUCACUUAUAGAUGGAUCCGCGCCGCAUUAGCUAGUUGGUAAGGUAACGGCUUACCAAGGCAACGAUGCGUAGCCGACCUGAGAGGGUGAUCGGCCACACUGGAACUGAGACACGGUCCAGACUCCUACGGGAGGCAGCAGUAGGGAAUCUUCCGCAAUGGGCGAAAGCUUGACGGAGCAACGCCGCGUGAGUGAUGAAGGUCUUCGGAUCGUAAAACUCUGUUAUUAGGGAAGAACAAAUGUGUAAGUAACUAUGCACGUCUUGACGGUACCUAAUCAGAAAGCCACGGCUAACUACGUG